UACAGAGGUCCCAAGCGUUGUUCGGAUUCAUUGGGCGUAAAGGGUGCGUAGGCGGCGCGGUAAGUCGGGUGUGAAAUCUCGGGGCUUAACUCCGAAACUGCAUUCGAUACUGCCGUGCUUGAGGACUGGAGAGGAGACUGGAAUUUACGGUGUAGCGGUGAAAUGCGUAGAUAUCGGAAGGAAGACCAGUGGCGAAGGCGGGUCUCUGGACAGUUCCUGACGCUGAGGCACGAAGGUCAGGGGAGCAAACGGG
rnacentral:rRNA from 1 species